UACAGAGGGUGCAAGCGUUGUUCGGAAUUAUUGGGCGUAAAGCGCGUGUAGGCGGCUUUGCAAGUCGGGUGUGAAAGCCCUCAGCUCAACUGAGGAAGUGCGCCCGAAACUGCAGAGCUUGAGUGCCGGAGAGGGUGGCGGAAUUCCCCAAAGUAGAGGUGAAAUUCGUAGAUAUGGGGAGGAACACCGGUGGCGAAAGGCGGCC
rnacentral:rRNA from 1 species